ACAUUCUUUACAUUUGUGUUUACUUUGCAGAGAGGAUCUACUUAGAUAAAUGUAAGAUGAAUGCAGUAAAUGAGACUUAAAAGCAUUUAUUUCAUUUUCUUCCACAGAUCGAUCAUCUUGCUUGAUAAAACCUCAAUAUAUCAUCAGGAGCAACCGGUAUUAAUUUUGUGCUCCUUGAUAUGUUUUUUUCCCUCCAAAAAUGGACAGUCUCUGACUUAAAUUGUAUCAAUCACCAAAGGCCACAUUUUCAGCUAAAAAUCUUCUUUGCUGUUCUGCUGAAGAAAAAUACUCAUGUACAUCUUGGGUGGUGUAAGGGUGAGUAAAUUAAUAGCUAAUUUUUAUUUUUGAGUGAACUUUUUCUUUAACUGAGCCAGAUGAUGUGUCAGAUUUUAUUCAGUUUGCAUACUCGUUUGACAAGUAACAAUAAAUGUCAGUGUCCUUUCAAAGACUGUAAAUUUAAUACAAAUGUGUAUUUAAUACCCUUGAUGACUUUUCACUGAAAGAUUUAUUUUCCUCAUCAAAACCUGUUUUUUUUCCUUUUCCAAAAUUUUCAAAACCCUAUUCCUUUUCAAAAAGUGUGUUUAUGGAUUGUGUCCUUCAAAAUGUUAAUAGCCACUCAAUGUUUGUUCUUAGAUCUUUGCAGGAUUCAGUCGCAUAUCUCGGAUCUGAGUUCUGCGCAGCACUGGACACAGACUCUGCACUUUUGACAUUUUCUAGAAAAAAGGAUUUUAAAUUUCACAUCAAGUUAAUUAAAAGUCAUCUGAUGUUUCCACUGCAGUACUUCAGGGCCUUUCAGUCAUCCUGGAGAAUGACCCAGAGGAAUUUUACAGGAUGUGUUUCGAUGUGGAUGCAGACUUCAGUCAAGCAGUUGUAGACCUGCUCACAGUUCUACCAGAGGACAUGCCCUCAUUGUGGAUGCAAUAAAGGCAAUCAUGGAGGGAAGAAUUGUCAUGGAUGGGUUUGAAAGGCCUGUAUUUUAUUUUUGCUGUUCUGUUUGCAUGCCAUUCUGAAAAUGCUCUAUUGUUUAACAGUGUUCCAGUGGGUCCAGAUAAUGUUAUGACAACAAAGUGUUGUUUAGUCAAGAAGUCUGUAAAGAGUAUUAUAAGAACACAGAUGUUUUAAAAGCUAAUUUUUAUUAUUGUGAUAUUCUUAAAGUUUUUUACAAAAAUAAACUGUUGAGAAUUUCAAACUUGUGUUAAGUUCAUUUCAUGCUGGUUGAACGAAUAAAAAUACGUUCAGUUUACUUAAAGAAAAUGUGGAAACCGAUUGCACAAAAUGUUUUAAGUUCCCAUAGCUUAAAAUGGCAGAUUAAAUCCAUGUUGAGAAUAACAGCAUUUAAGAUGUUUGCACAACACAAAAUAACACUAUUAGUUAAUAGAAUUAAUAAAGUAAUCUUACUAUUAAAUCUUAAGUAAGAUUAGUAAAUGUCCUGGAGUAUGUUAACUAGAAAUGACAUUAAUCUAACUUGAUAUUUAUUAGAUAAUUUACUCUGUAAGAGUUUGCUUUCUUUACUUUAAACUGAUUAUUAAAUUAACUUUAGUUUUACCUUUAAGUUUGCUUUAACAAAAUAAGGCAAUCUGUUUCCAAACUUUUUUUAAGUAAGCUGAACUUAUUAGGAUUUACAGUGUACGGGACAGGAAGUUCAGCUACUAGUUUGUGAUGUCACAAGUACAGCCAAGUAAACACUAUUGCAUGGCCAAAAAUUGAAUUUCACUCACACUGUUUUAAUGACCCUGACAACGAGUGCAUUCAGCAUUGGGGAAAAAAAUUGCAUAUUUUUACUCAAAAAUAAUAUAUUUAUGGUGUGUUUCUUGUAUAUUUUGAAGACACCCUUAAUUAAUUUGUAAUAUACUUGUAAUACAAACAAAGUACACUUUAAUAUCACUAAUCAAGCAUGUAAUUAGCUUAAACAGCAUAUACUUACUUAAAGUAUACUAAGUAUACUUGAAGUUGUUCCAAUUUAGCACAUAAAAGUACACUAAAUACACUUACAGU